rnacentral:misc_RNA from 1 species
ACAAUGAAACCGAUGUAUGUACAAUAGUUUCAUUUUAACUGUUGAUUGUAGUGGGUCCCACGUGAGUCUCACUAUGAUCAAUGAAUAUAAUUAAACCGUUGUAUGUAUAACGGUUAUACCAAAUAAAUAUUCGUUUUUUCUGUGGUGAACAGUAGUUCAUUUUUCUCUGCUUUUGGCUUAUAUAUCUCCAUCACCAUAAUUUCAAUUGUCAAUAUUUGAACAAUGACCAUCAAAAGGAAAAUAGUGAAAAAAACAAGGUAGGGCUGGUGGCUAUAUUCCAACAUAGCAAGAGCAAAGUGUUGUUCUAACUUCUUUAACCAAUAAUAAAUAAAUUGAUGUAUGGUUUUCACUUGCUUUUGACUUUUGAAACCUCUUAAAGAGCAGUUGAAAAAUUUCUAUAGAGUUUUCAUGUUGCAAUAUUUUAUGCAUA